UACAGAGGGUGCGAGCGUUAAUCGGAAUGACUGGGCGUAAAGGGCGCGUAGGCGGAUGGCACAGUCAGAUGUGAAAUUCCCGGGCUUAACCUGGGGGCUGCAUUUGAUACGUGUUGUCUUGAGUUCGGAAGAGGGUCGUGGAAUUCCCAGUGUAGAGGUGAAAUUCGUAGAUAUUGGGAAGAACACCGGUGGCGAAGGCGGCGACCUGGUCCGACACUGACGCUGAGGCGCGAAAGCGUGGGGAGCAAACAGG
rnacentral:rRNA from 1 species